AUUGAACGCUGGCGGCAGGCCUAACACAUGCAAGUCGAACGGUAACAGGAAGACGCUUGCUUCUUUGCUGACGAGUGGCGGACGGGUGAGUAAUGUCUGGGAAACUGCCUGAUGGAGGGGGAUAACUACUGAAAACGGUAGCUAAUACCGCAUAACGUCGCAAGACCAAAGAGGGGGACCUUCGGGCCUCUUGCCAUCGGAUGUGCCCAGAUGGGAUUAGCUAGUAGGUGGGGUAACGGCUCACCUAGGCGACGAUCCCUAGCUGGUCUGAGAGGAUGACCAGCCACACUGGAACUGAGACACGGUCCAGACUCCUACGGGAGGCAGCAGUGGGGAAUAUUGCACAAUGGGCGCAAGCCUGAUGCAGCCAUGCCGCGUGUAUGAAGAAGGCCUUCGGGUUGUAAAGUACUUUCAGCGGGGAGGAAGGGAGUAAAGUUAAUACCUUUGCUCAUUGACGUUACCCGCAGAAGAAGCACCGGCUAACUCCGUG
rnacentral:rRNA from 1 species